GAUGAAGAACGCAGCGAAAUGCGAUAAGUAAUGUGAAUUGCAGAAUUCAGUGAAUCAUCGAAUCUUUGAACGCACAUUGCGCCCCCUGUUAUUCCGGGGGGCAUGCCUGUCCGAGCGUCAUUACAACCCUCAAGCUCAGCUUGGUAUUGGGCCCCGCCGCUCCGGCGGGCCCUAAAGUCAGUGGCGGUGCCGUCCGGCUCCGAGCGUAGUAAUUCUUCUCGCUCUGGAGGUCCGGUCGUGUGCUCGCCAGCAACCCCCAAUUUUUUUCAGGUUGACCUCGGAUCAGGUAGGGAUACCCGCUGAACUUAAGCAUAUCAAAAGCGGAGGA
rnacentral:misc_RNA from 1 species